rnacentral:rRNA from 1 species
GACGAACGCUGGCGGCGUGCUUAACACAUGCAAGUCGAACGGAAAGGCCCUGCUUUUGUGGGUUGCUCGAGUGGCGAACGGGUGAGUAACACGUGAGUAACCUGCCCUUGACUUUGGGAUAACUUCAGGAAACUGGGGCUAAUACCGGAUAGGAGCUCUUGCUGCAUGGUGGGGGUUGGAAAGUUUCGGCGGUUGGGGAUGGACUCGCGGCUUAUCAGCUUGUUGGUGGGGUAGUGGCUUACCAAGUCUUUGACGGGUAGCCGGCCUGAGAGGGUGACCGGCCACAUUGGGACUGAGAUACGGCCCAGACUCCUACGUGAGGCAGCAGUGGGAAAUAUUGCACAGUGGGCGGAAGCCUGAUGCAGCAACGCCGCGUGCGGGAUAACGGGCUACGGGUUGUAAACCGCUUUCGACUGUGACGAAGCGUGAGUGACGGUAAUGGGUAAAGAAGCAACGGCUAACUACGUG